GGCAGGAACCACCCGGCUCGGCGGCGCAGGGUGGGCCGCCGUCACCUGACCGCCCGCCCCCGCCCCCCGCGAGUAAGGGGCGGUGGUAGCGUCUGCUCGGUUACAAAUGGCCCCUCCCGCCCGGCUCGCCCGCUCGCUCGAGCUCGGCGCCGACCAGCCCGGGCGUGCUCCUGCUGCCGGUUGCCGGCUGCUCGCGUCCUAGCGCCUGGCUCCCGGGUCUGGCCACCGCGGACGUGCCGAGCACGCGUAGCCAAGGCCCGGCGGUCGGGGUCGCGAUGGAUGUCUGGGCGGCCGAGGAGGCGUGUGGCUCGUCCUCCUGCAGGUGCUCCUGUGACGUGAUGGACAGAUACGCGUUCUUCUGCCCGAGGGGUGCAAAUGACACCAAGUGAGAGCCGAGUGCCUGCGUCAGCACAUUUUGCUUCCUGGGGACUCCUGUCCGGAGCAGAAACACCAGAGUCACUGGAGGAAUCUGUGCCUGGCCCCGCCCUCUCCCAAGCACAGAAUGAAGAACGAGAUGGGACUUCCCGUUUGGCACCCAGAUGAGCGUGGGUAGGCCCUGUAGUAUGCACAGGUCAGAAUUGCACAGAGAAGAGGCACACAGAGAGAGGUCUUCCAUCUGCUGGUCACUUCCCAAAUGGCUGCAAUGGCCGGAGCUGCGCCAAUCUGAAGCCAGGAGCUUCCUCCGGGUCUCCCACGUGGGUGCAGGGGCCUGAAGACUUGGGCCAUCCCCUACUGCUUCUCCCAGGCCACAGCUGAGAGCUGGAUCAGCAGUGGAGCAGCCGGGUCUUGAACCGGCGCCCACAUGGGAUGCUGGCGCUUCAGGCCAGGGCAUUAACCUGCUGCGCAACAGCACCGGCCCCUAGUGUGGACUUGAACCUGGGCAAAUCCAGCUAUGGGGCUCAGCCAUACUCUUCAUCCCAGCAGGCCUCAGACUAGGAGGGCAGCCUGGACACCCGCCAAGGUCACUGCAGGUACGGGCAGUCCUGACAAGUGAUGUGACUGAUUCUGCUGGAGCGUGCUGUGGUUGUGAUUCCUGGGCCUUCCGUUCAGCCCCUUGGAGCCCCAGCCUGUGAAGAGCCCUGGAAGAGAGGUGCUUCACCUGAUCUUCCUGUGUAACCCCUUCCUUUAGCAUCCUCUGCUCACAGCAGGGUGGGGCUGCCAGAAAGAGUUUGCAGGCACUUUGACACCCUUGUCUGAAAGACCUUGGCAUUGGCAGGUGUGCAGAUACCGUGGUAGACUUGGAAACCAUGUCAUGGAAACCAGACAUUGUUUUUAAGGAGCCCGUGAGGGCCAGGGUGGGAGCAAGAAGUUGGGAGAAGCCUCGUGCACACUUUCCCGAGCAUUGGAUUGACCAGACAGGGCUCCAAAGCUGGUACAACAGGAUUAGCACAAUGGCUUUGUUGGCCAUCGGCACAGCGUGACAUGAGCUGCAGCAGAGGCAUUUGGCAGGAUUAACCUGCCAAGGAUAAAGAUGUAGCAGACAAGGGCCUGAAUUAAUGGAUUGGCAUGACCGAAGCACAGAAAUCUAUUUGCAUGUGGUACUAGCUGUGCUAAUAAACCCUGGGUUGAGCUCUGGGGGCUAGGCAGUCUGUUUGAACCAGGAAGAGUUUUUUGGUUUUGUUGUUUUAAUGUUCAUUUGUAUUUGAAAGGCUGAGCAACAAGGAAGGGGAGAGAGAGCUGCCAUCUGCUGGUUCAUUCCCCGAAUGCCCGCAACAGCUGGCGCCAGGUGAGGCCAGCCCCAUGAGCCCCAGCACUCUGUGAGUCUCUCACAUGAGUGACAGGGGCUCAAGCACUUGGGCCAUCAUCUGCCACCUCCCAGGAUGCAUCAGCAGGAAGCCGGAUGGGAAGCAGAGCAGCCAGGACGUGAGCUGGCCCGCGGACAGGGGAUGCAUCAUCUUCCAGAACUAACAGGCGGAAAAACGUUUGGUUGAUUGGAGACCUCUGAUGUGAUAAAGCUUCGAUAGAGGUCACGUGCUCGUGUCGCCUGCAGCAAGGGGUCACUCCGUGCUGGUGAAGGCGGCCAGGCAGGAGGAGCUGCGUUCACCCUGCCGAGCCUUUGGGAGCCACAGAGAACCGACACAAGUAGGCCAAGGCAGAAAACAGAGAGAAAGGCUUUGGUUCAAAGGGGCACCUAAUUUUGGAACGCUGGGCAGCUUGCUUUUUCUUAAAGUGCUCCUGGGGUGGUGAAAAGGCCCUGAGGCAGGGCUGUGUGUGUGUUCCACCAGGGCCGCUGAUGUGGCUGGAGGACUCGGGGCUCCUGUCCAGGCACCACGAGACAGGUCACACCCCGCCCGGAUGCUGUGUCUGCCUGGGAGCAGCGGUAGCUGGAGCUCACUCAAGGUUCCAUCCACAGGCCAGGCCCCACUUCUGACAUUGCGGGAGGCUCACACACGUGUCUCUGCGAGCUGAAAGCAAGCACAGCUAGUGUGCACGUGGAGGGAGGCGGCGCUGGGUGGGCAGGCAGCGCUGGAGUGCCAGGGCCUUGUGGAUGUUAUUACAGAGGUCCCAGGAGGUGAGGAGGGUGUGAUGCUAUGGUUGGCGCAUGAUCUUCCCGCCAACUUUCCCAUUCAUCCCCUAAGCUCACAAGCCCGUGAUACUGGGAAGGUGGGGACGUGAGCCCAGGGAGGUAGGUCCCUGUGCGAAGUCCUUACGUCCCUGGGGGCACAGUCUCAGGUACACCUGAGCGGGGUCCAGCCACGCGCUCUCUGCUUCCUGCUUCCCCACGUGAGCCCGCACCCACCUCACCAGAGAGGCCAGCCCCAUCUCAGGAACUCAGAAACCGUGUGCCAGCUUUCACCAGUAGCUCGUCCUUGGUGUUGGGUGGUGCCGUGAGAAGUUGACCCAUGCAGAGGUCCCGAGCAGGGGAUUGUGAUGUGGCUACAGGGAGGGACAACUUCGACGCUUACCACGAUGUUCAAACCAGAGGUGUCGGGAGUUUGGGUCUGCGGUGUUGCUGGCCCUAGAGAUGAAGACGCACACUUAAGAGGGCAAAAUAAGGGACUUCCAGAUCUUCUAAUGACUCACGGGGGAUAUCUUGACUGUCAUGAUGCCUGCACCCCCCCCCCCAACGUUGCAUCAAUUGUCAGCACAGCCGAGCUGAAGUCUCUCCUGUUCCAGGUGCUGCGUGCAUGGUUGCUGAACUGCCUGGUGACCCGACAAAGGCCUCUGGCCUCAGGAUCACCAACCACCAGGCCCACACGAAGAGUUAAACCACAGCGGAAGGACACGCAAGGUCGAAUCCCAUCCCGGAAGUCUGCCAUCCUCGGAACACGUGGGAGCUACUCCAGGUGUGGCCUUCAAGGGCGGGGGACCCUGAAGAAGCACACAGAUCCUGAGGGCGGAGGCCUCGGCAGAGCUGCCACACCCAGCGCAAGCGGCGACGCCACACCGGAGACAGCACGGUGCGGUGCAGCAGCUGGUGUUGUGAAUCAGGCCGUUGCCACUCCGAGAACGGCUACUUCACAACACCAGGGUCGCACCCCACCACGGGCAGCGCCGGAACCAGCAGCGGCAUCGGCAGCCAGCCAGCCACGCCCUCCACCGGGGCGUUCCGAGGGCCACGUCCACCUGGCUCCAGACCCCAGCUCCUGCUGGGGCUCCACUGCAGGUUUCCCACUGCGUGCACAGAGCUGUGGGCCGCCCCUAAACUGAGCGUUUCCACUUAGGGCUGGGGCUUUAGGGACUUUGGUUCAGUGCUUGGCCAUGGCAGCAAAGUGGAGGUCAGGGCGGACCGAGUUACAGCAUGGCGAUGUCAGGGGACACUCCUAGAAAGAGGAGGGCCAUUGGUAGCCCCAGCAGGGGGAGGGUCCGGAGACGCAGGCUGGAGGGGUGCUGUCUUCAAGGCCAAGCACCCAGCCAAAGUUAGUAUGUGAGUGUUUUCACGCCUCACAGCUCCUCCAUGAGGCCUUAGCAUUUUCUGGGGCCCAGGGGCAGUGCCCGAGGCAGAGCCCCUCUGUGGGUGAUGUCCCUGCAGAGGCUGUCAGAGUGUCGGGCCGCUCUGGUUAACCUCGGUGCUGGCAGCGUUUGCUCAGGGCUUUGCUGCUGUCCCCUUAGAAAGCCCGGCAGAGGACAAAGCCAAGCCCUGCGCCAACACGGCCCAGUGUCAAGGUUACACAGACAGAGCCCACCUAUCUCUCCCCUUAGGGUUCUGGGAGGUGAGUCGGGCGCUCCGGGUCUGUCACCCCCUCCCCAUGCCACUGAAGGCAUCUGACACAUGGAGGUGGUUGUGCGUGGAGAGAAACACCUUCAGCCUAGAUGCCAGCCGGUCAGCUCCUUGCAGUGGUGUCGUGGCCAGCACCCACUCCCAGAGCCCCAGCACCUGCCCUGCGAGGCGUGGUCCCAGGUAAAUACCAAGUCCACAGCGCUCACACUAUUGGGAACCGAUGGUUCCUGCUGGUCCCGCCCCAGCCCCGCACAGCCACUGCACUACCUGCUGAGGAGCCAGGGCGACAGGGACGAUGCUGAACGGGGAUGUCUCCGGUCCUGGCUCCUGGAGACCCAGCAAAGCCCUCUGCAUGGGAUUCUUGAGCCAGGUACGCCAGUCUGUGUUCUUUAUACCAUGGUGGAUUCUCACUGUGACUCUAGAUGCUUCAUCAUGGAACCCAAUUUAGAAAAAUCUCCUAAAAUAAAUGGGGCCCAGUCCUCAGAGAGGCCGGGUGAGACCCAGAGGAAGUGCUCCUUAAUGCUGCUGUCACGCUGGGGAAUUCAUUGGAGGUUUGUACUGUGGGCUGCAGAAGGCGACCCCGGGGCUGCCUGCCCUGUUCUUAGCUCUGGACAAAGCCCCACCCAGGCCAUACACCUCUGACCACAGGGUGGCUGCUUUUCCCAGACACGGCGUACCUCCCUGGGACCAGGCUUCCCUGCCAUUCUCCGAUCUUGCAGAGCCUCUGCCCACAGACUGGAUGGCACGUGGCCAGAAAGAAGAGUGCUCAUGCUCGCGCAUACACACACCUCUUCUCUCGGCUCCUGACUUAGCCCUAGGUUGAGACUCUCCAUGUUGUCGCUUCCUUGGGGGCAGUUAGCCACGUUCCUAAUGACAGCGUUCUCCCCAGAGAUCCCCCCACCCCCGGCCCACCAGGAGCCUUAGUGACGCAGGGGACUCGCACCUGCCACCUUGUCCUUUCCAACUGCUGAGCUUGCUCAGGACUUCUGGCAACAGCUGGAUGUGGAGAGGUAAGCCCCGAGCCAACACCCCCAACCUGCUGAGGCAGGAGCUGAGCUAACUCCAAAGUGGAGUCCCCGAGCCUGCCACCUGUGGCAGUGUGCCAAGUCCAGGGCGUUCACCGGAUGCUGAAAGGGAAACUACUUUUUGGAAUUUUCAGUCAACGCUCAGGCAUUCUGGGCAGCGGAGCGGAGCCUGCCCAUCUUCACCGGGAUCAAGAGGCCCCGGGGGAGGCUGGGAGGUCAAAGUUACUUUCAGCCAGCGUUAGCGCAGUGCGUGACACAUACCUGCCUUUAACAUGAGCUCCUCCCUGCGCUGUUUUAAGGGGAGGGGCUAGAGGCCAAGGGGCGUUUGGUAACUUUCUCACCAGGGGUAGGGGCAGAUUUGAGCCCCGGGGUGCCCCCAGGUGAGCGCGUGGGAACUAAGCACCUCUGUCCACCUGAGCAGUGGAAAGCCACCUCGAUGACUGGCAGCUCCCUGUGGGGGAACCCUGGCCCUUACACAGACUGCCGCAGAGCCAAGUGCCAGGCAGCUGCUCUGUUCAAGUGUGAACAUUCCUGUUCCUGGUGGGGUGGAGGGGGACGGGCUUGUCCUGGGGGGAGCAGCCACCACCCGGUUCCCUGGGCCCCGUGGCUCAUCUUGCAUGUGUUCCCCGUGCGUGCCACAAAGGCAUUUUCAACCCUAGCAUCAGUCUUGUUACGCCAGUGGCUUUUUCCCCCUAGUAAUUUGGGGCAAACAUUCCUACCCAUGAGGCCAUCGGGAAAGCUGCGGUGCCAACCCCACCCCCAACUCCCCAAGAAAAUGAGGCACACACCUUGCUGAGAUUCCAGGGACAGGGCUGAAGUCCUCAGCUUCCUGCCAGUCUUCGAUGGAGUUUAAAGGGAGGGGACUAGGGAAAGCCUGCUCCGUCUUCCCCACCUCCGUCCCCUACCUGAGCCAAAGCGUUUGUUUGAAGCUGUGAUUUUAAAAGGCACUGACACAAAAAAAGUUUUAAUUUUUUUCUUAAAGGGCCAAGAAUAAAUACAAAACCUACCUUCUGCUGUGGCCUCUGGCUGCCUGGCACACUGGUUCCCUUCUGAGACUUGAACCAUCGCCCCUCAGUUUCCAGGACUUGGCCCAGGGGCCAAAAGCAGGGAGACCUAUGACAGAGGCACAGCAGAAGAUGAGCCAGGGGUCCCUAAGUCUAGGAAACCCUGUCUUCCUGCUGGGACAGGUACAAGGACCAGGGCCAGGCACCUGCUGCCAGUCCAUCUGAGCUGACCCCAGACAGCAUGGGUAGGACCACCCUCCAGACCUCCUACCUCCCCCCAACCGCAAACCCCAGAGCCUGGGGGGUGGAUUACAGACCCUGCUGCACUGGACCCCAGGGUUGCUCUGUGGGCCUCACUAGACUGGAAGAGGUUGUGUGUGCGCAUGCGCAUACAUGCAUUUAUUUGCAUGUAUAUUGUCUUGUAUGUGAUUGAUUUGAUACUCUUUCGUCUUUCCUAUCCUGUCUACCCCAAAAUGCUCAGAAGCACAAUAGAAAAUCCCACUGUUCCAGCAACACGGUGUUCAGAUACAAAGAUGGCAGAUAAAACACCGAAGUCCCUUCUCAGCCUAUCCCCGAGAUAACCAGCGCAUCCGUUUUACAGCCUGGGCACUUUUGAGGUCACGGAAGUCACACACACUUCGAGAUGCCUCAGGCAGGUGAACCAUGAAUGCUUCCUUGCUCAGGUUACCCUGGUGGGCGCAGGGCGGGAGGCCACACCCAUCAGUGCAAUGCACGUCCCCACCUCUGACCACUGGAGCACGCGAAAUGGGCAAGGCUGGCCUCCCGUCCUUGAACCAAGUCAGCUCCCAAGGCCCUGACCGCGCUGCCCGCCCUGCCCCAGGGCCACACGCAACCUGCCCUGUCCCCUGUGUCCCUCACCCCAGCUACCCCUGAGGGCCCUGCGGAGACUUGAAUGAGUCUCUUCCAGGUGAGACCCCGCCCUCCCUGCUAUGACGUCAUCCACAUAAGCUCCUCCCCUUUCCUACACCUGCGGUCUCGUCUCUUCCUCCUGGACUGGCAGCUGCCCCAGGGGUGGCGAUUGCUGUCUGCCUUGUCAAGUGCUCUAGCCCAGCACCCAGAGCACCCAUGGGCACUCAGCAAGGGUUCCCUACGGCUGUGCUGGGGGAACAAGUGUGGGACCCAUGCUUGCCAAAGCUGGGAGCCCGGCCGCCUUCUGUCCGCUUGGCCAGGACGCCCUCUUCUGAGAGGGUGGCCCCUCUCAGCUGCUGGCACGUAUCUCAAGCUCCAAGAAGCUGAGAGUGCUCUUGUCCACUUCCCACCGGGGGAGGCCUCUUGCUUGGUGGGUGAGGAGCAGGGGACGAUGCCUUCCGUGGCAGAGGGGGGACACUGACACCCGGAAGCUGACAUGGACAAACCCUGGAAUUGGGAGCUGCCACACACACAAAAGGACUCCCGGGGCUGGCUUCCCCGAGGCCCAGGGCAGAUGAGACUCCUCGGCCACGCCCCCGCAUUGCCCUGCACUUCCAAACGCUGCAGAGACACAAAGGGCAAUUGCGAAGUUUUGGGGGCCCCUCCUCCAGCCCUGUGUCAGCUUCAGCAGCACAGGGGCUGGGCCUGGGGUGCUCUCCCCUUCCCCAGCACCUGGCACCAUGCCGCGCCCACUGUCUGUGCCUUGAGGCACGGCUGACUUGGUGUGUCUCUGUGCUGAACACGUGGGAUGCUCACCACGUGCUCCCUGCCAUUACAGGACAUGCAGGGCCUCCCCCGAGAACCACCAGAUUCAGAUGCUAGUGUUUAUAGAUGGUACCAGCAGGCUGGGAUGCGAGGGCCUUCUUAAGUACACCCCUAUGUCCACAGACACAGGGUGAAAUAGAGUGGUCUAGGGUCUACAGGAGAGACCCUCACCUUGUGACUUGCAGCCAAGAGCAUUCAUUUGUAACUGGAACUGUCACAUCAGAAUGACUACCUACAACAAGACGUCCAGAUUUCACUCAGUGCCUCCAGGAUGCCACCCAAAGCCUUCUGCUCCCACCAUCCUUACUGCCUCCCGGUCCCAAGAGGACUGCUGCCGUUCCAGUCAUCACCUGUACAGUCCAGGAGGAAGUCCAGGGAAGUGGAAAGGCCGGUACUAUCCCCAAUCUGUUUACCAGGAGACACAGCUUUCCCAGAAGUUUCCACCUCCUUCCAGGCCUCAUCAGCCAGAGUUCUAUCACCUGGUUACCACUAGCUGCCAGAGGUGUUAGAAGGGUGAGGAGUCGCCCAGAGAGGAAAGGAAACCUGGUGGGGCACGGCGGCCGUGGGAUGGGCCAGGCUGCAGACUGGGCCGGCCUGCAGUGUUGCCCGAAAACCACGUCAGGUGUUCUUUAACGGGGGGUGGAGGUAGGGUUCUGAUCACAAAAGCAAUGCAUGUGGACUGUAAAGCUUUGAAAAGGAUUUUACACCUUUGUAAAUCUGUCGGUCUUUGGAAAGGAUGGACAGGCCCCCCUGUCCCAGCACGCAGGAAUAAGCACAGCUUCUUCCUUGACGUCCGUGUACUCGGAGUUGCCCUGGCAUUAGCUCCCGCACUCGGAAUUAUGGCAGAUCUUUCCGAAUCAUUAACUGUUCUUUGCAGAAUCCCAUUUUAGGCUCCUGUGUUGCGCUCCAUGGAAGAGGAAACCAUGACUUUUGUUGAGUCCCUUGGUGCUGCACAUUCUGAUGUUUAUAAAACGGGGGGUGGGGGGGCGGGGGGCCGAGCAACACCAGAGCAGCCACGUCUUUGGUCCAGGAAUGCGUCGGGAGGAUAAUCCCGAAUGUGCCCAUGCUGCAGAGCCAGACAAGGCGAGGACCCUUGCAGGUUAUCAAGGAGACGGGGCCAAGAGCUCUUGGGGACGGGAUGCGCCGUAGGCCCCGAGUCUGGACAGUCCCCGCUCUAGGGGUCACCCUGAGGAGACACCUGCUUCUGCCUCAGAACCACAUUGUCACCCAAGGCUUCUCCCACCACCAUUUCUGGAACUGGUCCUGGGAGAUGGGGCUCGGGGCGAGGCUCCCUUCCCAGUCGUCAUGGCUGCCACAGUGUGUCCCCGACCACUCUCUAGGUUGAAGCUCUGACCCCCUGGUGUGACUAUAUGUGGAGACAGGGCCUUUCGGGGGGUAAUUACAGUUGCAUAAGGCCAUAAGGAUGAGACCCGUCUCCUGCAGGACUAGUGUCCAGGUAAGAAAAGGAGCAGACGUGCAGGGGGAAGACCAGGCAAGGUCAGGGUGAGGCAAGGACCAAGGAGAAACCAAGUCUACAGGAACAUGGGAAAUAAAGUUCUUUAGUUGCA